rnacentral:rRNA from 1 species
UACGGAGGGGGCUAGCGUUGUUCGGAAUUACUGGGCGUAAAGCGCGCGUAGGCGGAUCUGCAAGUCGGGGGUGAAAUCCCGAGGCUCAACCUCGGAACUGCCUUCGAUACUGCGGGUCUCGAGUCCGGGAGAGGUGAGUGGAAUUCCUAGUGUAGAGGUGAAAUUCGUAGAUAUUAGGAAGAACACCAGUGGCGAAGGCGGCUCACUGGCCCGGUACUGACGCUGAGACGCGAAAGCGUGGGGAGCGAAUAGG